UACGGGGGGGGCAAGCGUUGUUCGGAAUUACUGGGCGUAAAGGGCGCGUAGGCGGUUUGCUAAGUUGGAUGUGAAAACUCUGGGCUUAACCCAGAGCCUGCAUCCAAAACUGGCUAACUUGAGUACUGGAGGGGAAAGCGGAAUUCCUGGUGUAGCGGUGAAAUGCGUAGAUAUCGGGAGGAACACCUGCGGUGUAGACGGCUUACUGGACCAUAACUGACGCUGAGGCACGAAAGCGUGGGUAGCAAACAGG
rnacentral:rRNA from 1 species